rnacentral:rRNA from 1 species
GAUGAACGCUGGCGGCGUGCUUAACACAUGCAAGUCGAACGGAAAGGCCCAAGCUUGCUUGGGUACUCGAGUGGCGAACGGGUGAGUAACACGUGGGUGAUCUGCCCUGCACUUCGGGAUAAGCCUGGGAAACUGGGUCUAAUACCGGAUAGGACCACAUUUUGGAUGGUGUGGUGGAAAGUUUUUCGGUGUGGGAUGAGCUCGCGGCCUAUCAGCUUGUUGGUGGGGUAAUGGCCUACCAAGGCGUCGACGGGUAGCCGGCCUGAGAGGGUGUACGGCCACAUUGGGACUGAGAGACGGCCCAGACUCCUACGGGAGGCAGCAGUGGGGAAGAUCGCACAAUGGGCGCAAGCCUGAUGCAGCGACGCCGCGUGGGGGAUGACGGCCUUCGGGUUGUAAACUCCUUUCGCUAGGGACGAAGCGUUAUGUGACGGUACCUGGAGAAGAAGCACCGGCUAACUACGUG